rnacentral:rRNA from 1 species
UACAGAGGGUGCGAGCGUUACUCGGAAUUACUGGGCGUAAAGCGUGCGUAGACGGUUACGUAAGUCGGAUGUGAAAUCCCCGGGCUCAACCUGGGAAUUGCAUUCGAGACUGCGCAGCUGGGGUGCGGAAGAGGGAAGCGGAAUUUCCGGUGUAGCGGUGAAAUGCGUAGAUAUCGGAAGGAACAUCAGUGGCGAAAGCGGCUUCCUGGUCCAGCACCGACGUUCAGGCACGAAAGCGUGGGGAGCAAACAGG